rnacentral:RNase_P_RNA from 1 species
GGCACAGGUAGAACUACCGCCGGGGGGUUAAACUUCUGGAGGAAAGUCCGGGCAACGCAGGGAAACUCACCAUAUGAAAAUAUGGGUACAUAGGCCGAUAGUUUAUGUAACAGACAGUGCCACAGAGACAAGGUAGCCUUGAGUUAAACCUCGGGGUGAUAGUGAAAAUGUAGGGUAAGAGCCUACAAGCACCUUCAGUGAUGAAAGUGUUUGGUAAACCUUGGGUGUUGAAAGACCAAAUAAGUUGCGGUACAAGUGUCCCGCUUUUUUCCGCAAGGAAGCCGUAACGGGUAGGUCGAAUAGAUAAAUGGUAGUUUAUAUCUUGGCUUUGGCUGAGAUGAAACAGAACCCGGCUUAUAUGCCUGUAUUUGAA